rnacentral:rRNA from 1 species
GACGAACGCUGGCGGCGUGCUUAACACAUGCAAGUCGAGCGAUGAAGUUCCCUUCGGGGAACGGAUUAGCGGCGGACGGGUGAGUAACACGUGGGUAACCUGCCUCAUAGAGAGGGAUAGCCUUCCGAAAGGGAGAUUAAUACCCUCAUAACAUCAUUCUUUCGCAUGUUAGAAUGAUCAAAGGAGCAAUCCGCUAUGAGAUGGACCCGCGGCGCAUUAGCUAGUUGUGGGGUAACGGCCUACCAAGGCGACGAUGCGUAGCCGACCUGAGAGGGUGAUCGGCCACAUUGGGACUGAGACACGGCCCAGACUCCUACGGGAGGCAGCAGUGGGGAAUAUUGCACAAUGGGGGAAACCCUGAUGCAGCAAGCCGCGUGAGUGAUGACGG